rnacentral:rRNA from 1 species
AGUGGCGAACGGGUGAGUACGCGUGACACUGACCCUGAACUCUGGGGAUAAGCGCUGAAACGCGUCUAAUACUGGAUAUGUGACGUGACCGCAUGUCUGCGUCUGAAGAUCGGUUGGGAUGGGCUCGCGGCUAUCAACUUGUUGGUGAGUAAUGGCUCACAAGGCGUCACGGGUACCGCCGAAGGUGACGGCACCUGGGACUGAACACGGCCAACUCCUACGGGGAGGCAGCAGUGGGGGAUAUUGGGCAAUGGGCGCAAGCCUGACCCCACCACGCCGCGUGAGUGAUGAAGGCCUUCGGGUCGUAAAGCUCUGUGGGGGAGGGACGAAAAAACUUGCCGGCAAUCACGGGGAGCCUGACGGUACCUCCUUAGCAAGCACCGGCUUAACUCCGUGCCAGCAGCCGCGGUAAUACGGAGGGUGCAAACGUUGCUCGGAAUCAUUGGGCGUUAAAGCGAACGUAGCGGUAUGUAAGUCGGGUGUGAAAGCCCUCGGUUCAACCGAGGAAGUGCUUUCGAAACUGCUGGUUGAGUAGCGGAGAGGAUAAGCGGAAUUCCCGGUGUUAAAAGGUGAAAUUCCGUAAAUUCGGGAGGAACACCA